rnacentral:rRNA from 1 species
UAGAGGGGGCUACACAUGCAGUCGAGCGGAUGACGGGAGCUUGCUCCUUGAUUCAGCGGCGGACGGGUGAGUAAUGCCUAGGAAUCUGCCUGGUAGUGGGGGACAACGUUUCGAAAGGAACGCUAAUACCGCAUACGUCCUACGGGAGAAAGCAGGGGACCUUCGGGCCUUGCGCUAUCAGAUGAGCCUAGGUCGGAUUAGCUAGUAGGUGAGGUAAUGGCUCACCUAGGCGACGAUCCGUAACUGGUCUGAGAGGAUGAUCAGUCACACUGGAACUGAGACACGGUCCAGACUCCUACGGGAGGCAGCAGUGGGGAAUAUUGGACAAUGGGCGAAAGCCUGAUCCAGCCAUGCCGCGUGUGUGAAGAAGGUCUUCGGAUUGUAAAGCACUUUAAGUUGGGAGGAAGGGCAGUAAGCUAAUACCUUGCUGUUUUGACGUUACCGACAGAAUAAGCACCGGCUAACUCUGUGCCAGCAGCCGCGGUAAUACAGAGGGUGCAAGCGUUAAUCGGAAUUACUGGGCGUAAAGCGCGCGUAGGUGGUUCGUUAAGUUGGAUGUGAAAGCCCCGGGCUCAACCUGGGAACUGCAUCCAAAACUGGCGAGCUAGAGUAUGGUAGAGGGUGGUGGAAUUUCCUGUGUAGCGGUGAAAUGCGUAGAUAUAGGAAGGAACACCAGUGGCGAAGGCGACCACCUGGACUGAUACUGACACUGAGGUGCGAAAGCGUGGGGAGCAAACAGGAUUAGAUACCCUGGUAGUCCACGCCGUAACGAUGUCAACUAGCCGUUGGAAUCCUUGAGAUUUUAGUGGCGCAGCUAACGCAUUAAGUUGACCGCCUGGGGAGUACGGGCCGCAAGGUUAAAACUCAAAUGAAUUGACGGGGGCCCGCACAAGCGGGUGGAGCAUGUGGUUUUAAUUCGAAGCAACGCGAAGAACCUUACCAGGCUUUGACAUGCAGAGAACUUUCCAGAGAUGGAUUGGGUGCCUUUCGGAACUCUGACACAGGUGCUGCAUGACUGUCGUCAGCUCGUGUCGUGAGAUGUUGGGUUUAAGUCCCGUACGAGCGCAACCUUGUCUUAGAUAACAGCACGUUAUGGUGGCACUCUAGAUACUGGCGAUGAACAUCCGACGUAAGUGGCGAUGACCGUUCCAGGUUCAUCAAUGG